ACAGUUUUUUUCGGUGAUCCAGAAUGAAAAUCUGCAGAAUUUAGCAGACAGUUUUUCUGCUUGGGGUGGAGAUGUGUCAACAUUCUGAGUUUUAUUUCCAUUUUUUCUAUUUCAUGUUUUUAAAAUUAGCAUAAAG